CAUCUCCGGGGGUAGAGCACUGUUUCGGCUAGGGGGCCAUCCCGGCUUACCAACCCGAUGCAAACUGCGAAUACCGGAGAAUGUUAUCACGGGAGACACACGGCGGGUGCUAACGUCCGUCGUGAAGAGGGAAACAACCCAGACCGCCAGCUAAGGUCCCAAAGUCAUGGUUAAGUGGGAAACGAUGUGGGAAGGCCCAGACAGCCAGGAUGUUGGCUUAGAAGCAGCCAUCAUUUAAAGAAAGCGUAAUAGCUCACUGGUCGAGUCGGCCUGCGCGGAAGAUGUAACGGGGCUAAACCAUGCACCGAAGCUGCGGCAGCGACGCUGAUGCGUUGUUGGGUAGGGGAGCGUUCUGUAAGCCUGCGAAGGUGGCCUGUGAGGGUUGCUGGAGGUAUCAGAAGUGCGAAUGCUGACAUAAGUAACGAUAAAGCGGGUGAAAAGCCCGCUCGCCGGAAGACCAAGGGUUCCUGUCCAACGUUAAUCGGGGCAGGGUGAGUCGACCCCUAAGGCGAGGCCGAAAGGCGUAGUCGAUGGGAAACGGGUUAAUAUUCCCGUACUUGGUGUUACUGCGAAGGGGGGACGGAGAAGGCUAUGUUGGCCGGGCGACGGUU
rnacentral:rRNA from 1 species